UACCAGCACCCCGAGUGGUCGGGACGAUUAUUGGGCGUAAAGAGCUCGUAGGCGGUUUGUCGCGUCUGCCGUGAAAGUCCGGGGCUCAACUCCGGAUCUGCGGUGGGUACGGGCAGACUAGAGUGAUGUAGGGGAGACUGGAAUUCCUGGUGUAGCGGUGAAAUGCGCAGAUAUCAGGAGGAACACCGGUGGCGAAGGCGCACAUCUGGCCCGAUACUGACGCUGAGGCGCGAAAGCUAGGGGAGCAAACGGG
rnacentral:rRNA from 1 species